AGUGAACGCUGGCGGUAGGCCUAACACAUGCAAGUCGAACGGCAGCACAGUAAGAGCUUGCUCUUACGGGUGGCGAGUGGCGGACGGGUGAGGCAUACAUCGGAAUCUACUUUUUCGUGGGGGAUAACGUAGGGAAACUUACGCUAAUACCGCAUACGACCUACGGGUGAAAGCAGGGGAUCUUCGGACCUUGCGCGACUGAAUGAGCCGAUGUCGGAUUAGCUAGUUGGUGGGGUAACGGCCCACCAAGGCGACGAUCCGUAGCUGGUCUGAGAGGAUGAUCAGCCACACUGGAACUGAGACACGGUCCAGACUCCUACGGGAGGCAGCAGUGGGGAAUAUUGGACAAUGGGCGCAAGCCUGAUCCAGCCAUACCGCGUGGGUGAAGAAGGCCUUCGGGUUGUAAAGCCCUUUUGUUGGGAAAGAAAAGCAGCAGGUUAAUACCCCGCUGUUCUGACGGUACCCAAAGAAUAAGCACCGGCUAACUUCGUG
rnacentral:rRNA from 1 species